rnacentral:rRNA from 1 species
CUACGGGCGGCUGCAGUGAGGAAUAUUGGUCAAUGGGCGCAAGCCUGAACCAGCCAAUCCGCGUGCAGGAUGACUGCCCUAUGGGUUGUAAACUGCUUUUAUACAGGAAGAACCCUCCAUACGUGUAUGGGGUUGACUGUACUGUAAGAAUAAGCAUCGGCUAACUGCGUGCCAGCAGCCGCGGUAAUACGGAGGAUGCGAGCGUUAUCCGGAUUUAUUAGGUCUAAAGGGUGCGUAGGCGGAUAAUUAAGUCAGUGGUGAAAUCCUACAGCUUAACUGUAGAACUGCCAUUGAUACUGGUUGUCUUGAGUUUAGUUGAGGUAAGCGGAAUGUGUAGUGUAGCGGUGAAAUGCUUAGAUAUUACACAGAACACCGAUUGCGAAGGCAGCUUACUAAGCUACAACUGACGCUGAGGCACGAAAGCGUGGGGAGCGAACAGGAUUAGAUACCCCCGUAGUC